UAGGGAAUCUUCCACAAUGGACGAAAGUCUGAUGGAGCAAUGCCGCGUGAGCGAAGAAGGUUUUCGGAUCGUAAAGCUCUGUUGUAAGGGAAGAACACGUACGGGAGUAACUGCCCGUACCUUGACGGUACCUUAUUAGAAAGCCACGGCUAACUACGUGCCAGCAGCCGCGGUAAUACGUAGGUGGCAAGCGUUGUCCGGAAUUAUUGGGCGUAAAGCGCGCGCAGGCGGUCCUUUAAGUCUGAUGUGAAAGCCCACGGCUCAACCGUGGAGGGUCAUUGGAAACUGGGGGACUUGAGUACAGAAGAGGAAAGCGGAAUUCCACGUGUAGCGGUGAAAUGCGUAGAGAUGUGGAGGAACACCAGUGGCGAAGGCGGCUUUCUGGUCUGUAACUGACGCUGAGGCGCGAAAGCGUGGGGAGCAAACAGGAUUAGAUACCCGUGUAGUCC
rnacentral:rRNA from 1 species